GCUCGUGUAGUAUAUCGGUUAGUAUACGGCCCUGUCGAGGCCGUGGGCCGGGUCCGACUCCCGGCACGAGCG
rnacentral:tRNA from 1 species